rnacentral:tRNA from 1 species
GGAGGAGUCGGAUAGCGGUUUAUUCCGCGCGCUUGGAAAGCGCGUGAGCGCAAGCUCUCGUGGGUUCGAAUCCCACCUCCUCCGCCA